UACGGGGGGAGCAAGCGUUGUUCGGAUUUACUGGGCGUAAAGGGCGCGUAGGCGGCGCAACAAGUCACUUGUGAAAUCUCCGGGCUUAACUCGGAGCGGUCAAGUGAUACUGUCGUGCUAGAGUGCGGAAGGGGCUACUGGAAUUCUCGGUGUAGCGGUGAAAUGCGUAGAUAUCAAGAGGAAUACCUGAGGUGAAGACGGGUUGCUAGGCUGACACUGACGCUGAUGCGCGAAAGCUAGGGGAGCAAACGGG
rnacentral:rRNA from 1 species